rnacentral:rRNA from 1 species
UACGUAGGGUGCGAGCGUUAAUCGGAAUUACUGGGCGUAAAAGUGUGCGCAGGCGGGCCGCGCAAGUCGAGUGUGAAAUCCCCGAGCUUAACUUGGGAAUUGCGCUCGAAACUACGUGGCUGGAGUGUGGCAGAGGAAGGUGGAAUUCCACGUGUAGCGGUGAAAUGCGUAGAGAUGUGGAGGAACACCGAUGGCGAAGGCAGCCUUCUGGGCCAACACUGACGCUCAUGCACGAAAGCGUGGGGAGCAAACAGG